rnacentral:rRNA from 1 species
GACGAACGCUGGCGGCGUGCUUAACACAUGCAAGUCGAACGGUGACGCGCCUUCCUCUUUGGCUGGUGUGGAUGAGGGGCGAACGGGUGAGUAACACGUGCGUAACCUGCCCUUUCCUUCUGGAUAACCUCAUGAAAGUGUGGCUAAUACGGGAUAUUCUGGGCCUGUGGCAUGAUGGGUCUUGGGGAGCUAUUGUUUCGGUGUGGGCUGGGCUCGCGGCCUAUCAGGUUGUUGGUGGGGUGAUGGCCUACCAAGGCGAUGAGGAGUAGCCGGCCUGAGAGGGUGGGCGGCCAUAGUAGUGAUGAGCCGUGGAGCCGACUACGACAGGCAGCAGCGGGGGAGAAUAGUGCACAGUGGGAAGAAGGCUGAAGCAGCGACGCGGCGUGGGGGAUGGAGUUCUUGGGGUUGUGAACCUCUUUCGGGAGUGAAGCGGGCCUGCCUAGUAUGUGGGUGGGUUGACGGUAGCUGGAUAAGAAGCGCCGGCUAACUACGUG